rnacentral:rRNA from 1 species
UACGUAGGGUGCGAGCGUUAAUCGGAAUUACUGGGCGUAAAGCGUGCGCAGGCGGUGCGUUGUGUCGGUGGUGAAAUCCCCGGGCUUAACCUGGGAACUGCCAUCGAAACUGGCGGGCUAGAGUAUGGCAGAGGGGGGGUAGAAUUCCACGUGUAGCAGUGAAAUGCGUAGAGAUGUGGAGGAAUACCGAUGGCGAAGGCAGCCCCCUGGGCCAAUACUGACGCUCAUGCACGAAAGCGUGGGGAGCAAACGAGGAU